rnacentral:rRNA from 1 species
CAGCCGCCGCGGUAAUACGUAGGGUGCAAGCGUUAAUCGGAAUUACUGGGCGUAAAGCGUGCGCAGGCGGUUAUAUAAGACAGAUGUGAAAUCCCCGGGCUCAACCUGGGAAAUGCAUUUGUGACUGUAUAGCUAGAGUACGGCAGAGGGGGAUGGAAUUCCGCGUGUAGCAGUGAAAUGCGUAGAUAUGCGGAGGAACACCGAUGGCGAAGGCAAUCCCCUGGGCCUGUACUGACGCUCAUGCACGAAAGCGUGGGGAGCAAACAGGAUUAGAUACCCCAGUAGUCCCUGUCUCUUAUAC